rnacentral:rRNA from 1 species
UACAGAGGUCCCGAGCGUUGUUCGGAUUCACUGGGCAUAAAGGGUGCGUAGGUGGUGAGGUAAGUCGGAUGUGAAAUCUCCGGGCUCAACCCGGAAAUGGCAUUGGAAACUACCUUGCUAGAGGAUUUGAGGGGGGAUUGGAAUACUUGGUGUAGCAGUGAAAUGCGUAGAUAUCAAGUGGAACACCAGUGGCGAAGGCGAAUCCCUGGAAAAUACC